GCCGAAGCUCCUCAGCAGUCACCUCCCCUGUGAAACAUAUGAACAUGCGGGCUGUCAACAGCAAAGGGCCAAGAAUAACUGUCCUAUUGUGUGCCCAGCAGGUUGCUGUCUCUCAUUAGGCGGUACUCCUCUUCAUUCAAGUCAUUAAUGAAGUGAUAGUAUGCCUCCUCCCGACGAAGACGUUCUGCUUGUCUACGCCGUUCAUCUCCCCCACCAGGAGGGUCCAUCACCGUGAAAAGUGCUGGCAGACAGAAGGGAUUGUCAGGUUUGUCUUCACGACAGUUUUGCGACAGUGCCGUACAGAGUGAAGUCUCUCCAGAUACCGGCUGAGGGAAACGCAGCAACAAGAGAAACGAAAACAUUUCAGUCUCGUUUUUUCCAACUUGGAUUCUAACCGAACACCGUGCAUCCCCUCCGGUAGGAACAAUUUCACCGGAAAACUCCAUGCUGAAGCUGGGCUGGGGACGAGAGAAAUCUACUGAACCGAGCUCGCUGUUGUAGCCUAGUUGCCUCCCAGAAGCGACGCUUUAAAAAGGGAAGGAGAAUACACAUUUUGCACAAACUGUGGGGAAAAUGGACUAUGAUUUUAAAGUGAAGCUGACCGGUGAAAGAGAGCGCGUCGAGGACCUGUUUGAGUACGAGGGCUGCAAAGUGGGAAGAGGCACCUACGGUCAUGUUUACAAGGCGAAGAGAAAAGAUGGUGAUUCAAGACUCAAUUCAAGAUUAAAAGGCCUUAUUGUCAUAUACACAGCAAUGAAGUCCGAGCGUCCUCCAACAAUGCUACAUAAAUAGUGAAAGAAAUAACAGAAUAUAAAUAAAUGGUCUUUUUCAAAGUAAAUAUCUUUACACUUAAACUCACAUUCACUAUCACGCAGUUUUAAAGAAGCAAACUUAAACUGGUUCUCAUUAUGCAUUGCUAAAUCUCGAAAUAAACGUAGAAGAAUUUGUUGUCAAAACCUCUGCUGCAUUUCACUUGGCGGUGUAUCAGAACUGAGUUAAAGAGUCAUUCUCUGCCACAGAGCUGCGGGUUAGGAAACACAUGCUACAAACAUUAGCCUCAUCUUCCCUGUAGCAUAAACUUAUAUUUGUGACCAUGAAAUAUGGAAAAUCUCACAAAAUGUACGCAGAAACACUCAAGGAACCCUCUCCAUCCAUCCAUCCAUCUUCUCCCGCUUAUCCGUGGUCGGGUCGCGGAGGUA